GACGAACGCUGGCGGCGUGCCUAAUACAUGCAAGUCGAACGAACUCUGGUAUUGAUUGGUGCUUGCAUCAUGAUUUACAUUUGAGUGAGUGGCGAACUGGUGAGUAACACGCGGGAAACCUGCCCAGAAGCGGGGGAUAACACCUGGAAACAGAUGCUAAUACCGCAUAACAACUUGGACCGCAUGGUCCGAGCUUGAAAGAUGGCUUCGGCUAUCACUUUUGGAUGGUCUCGCGGCGUAUUAGCUAGAUGGUGGGGUGACGGCUCACCAUGGCAAUGAUACGUAGCCGACCUGAGAGGGUGAUCGGCCACAUUGGGACUGAGACACGGCCCAAACUCCUACGGGAGGCAGCAGUAGGGAAUCUUCCACAAUGGACGAAAGUCUGAUGGAGCAACGCCGCGUGAGUGAAGAAGGGUUUCGGCUCGUAAAACUCUGUUGUUAAGGAAGAACAUAUCUGAGAGUAACUGUUCAGGUAUUGACGGUAUUUAACCAGAAAGCCACGGCUAACUACGUGCCAGCCGCCGCUGUAAUAC
rnacentral:rRNA from 1 species